rnacentral:tRNA from 1 species
GAGCCCGUAGCUCGGUUGGCAGAACAACUGACUUGCGAUCAGUGAGCCACGGGUUCGAAUCCUGUCGGGCUCA